ACACUUUUGUAGUUCAUAAGUGUGAUGAUUGGGUGUUCACGUGAACGUGUAAAAUAUGCUACCCUCAAACCUUGUUACAAUGUGGGCAUAUUACCCAUCUGACA
ensembl:snoRNA